AAAGGUUUUUGCAAAUUUCUUGUAAAAAAUUGAAUUGAGGUAAGUGGAAUAUCAUGGUAUAUGUAUAACGUAUAUACAUGGCAAACUAUGGAAAUACGGUAUGGCGAAUAACGGAUGAGCGUGAAGUAAGGAAUGGGUUUUAACAAACGAAUGUUGAAAUUCUAAAUCAAGGACCAAUUUUAAGUACUUUUACAUUUAUCUUGUUCGUCAGUUUCAUCUUCUGUUUCACUACGAAAGGAGAAGAGUGUUUUCAAUUCGUCACGAUACCAAGCAGUUAGUAAUGGAGCGACAAUACAGGCAGGACUGAGAUAAAGCAAAGCUGGCUGUGCUGCUUUAAAGUAAUAUAAUGCAAAAUUUGUAACUCCAAGGCCAAGCCCAUAAGCUAUAAAGGUAUUCCGAAAAUAUGUCGAGUGCUUCUUAGGCUGGGAGGUAGAAUUAAUAUAGUAGUGAAGAUCGAAUCGAUACAUUAACGCAAGCAUCAAUCCAGGCAUGACAAUGUCACCCAAACCAAGCAUCGAAAGCCUUGUAGGGUUUUUGAAUUGAGGAAGUACAUACUUAGCUGGAAUGUCAAUUCCAGUAGCUACCGUCACCAUGACUUCGGUACCAAAUACAAAAUAGAUAUCGUAGAAGAAAAGGGCACCAAGGAGAAGCGCACCAGUAUUAUACGAAUCAAUUCUCAUAAUACUAAUGGAAUUAGCAGCUAAUGCCCAUGCCAAAAUAUUGGAUGCCAUCCAAUGUUUAGUUUUAAAGUAGAAUAAUGCAAUGGCAAUUGAACUCAUGGUUGCGGUAAUUUUUCCAAAUGUCGUUUUUGGAUUAAAGCUACGUACAAAACAUAUUAUGGAUGCUAAGCUUGCGUAGCCCUGUAGUAUCAGCUGAAUAUAUUCUUUACUCAGAU